UACGGAGGGUGCGAGCGUUACUCGGAAUCACUGGGCGUAAAGAGCGCGUAGGCGGUCUAGCAAGUCUGGUGUGAAAGCACAGGGCUCAACCCUGGAAGGGCACUGGAAACUGCUAGGCUUGAGUUCGGGAGAGGAGGGGGGAAUUCCCGGUGUAGCGGUGAAAUGCGUAGAUAUCGGGAGGAAUACCGAUGGCGAAGGCGCACCUCUGGGCGGAGACUGACGCUGAGGCGCGAAAGCGCGGGGAGCAAACAGG
rnacentral:rRNA from 1 species